rnacentral:rRNA from 1 species
UACGAAGGGGGCUAGCGUUGCUCGGAAUCACUGGGCGUAAAGGGCGCGUAGGCGGCGUUUUUAAGUCGGGGGGUGAAAGCCUGUGGCUCAACCACAGAAUGGCCUUUGAUACUGGGACGCUUGAGUAUGGUAGAGGUUGGUGGAACUGCGAGUGUAGAGGUGAAAUUCGUAGAUAUUCGCAAGAACACCAGUGGCGAAGGCGGCUCACUGGCCCGAUACUGACGCUGAGGCACGAAGCGUGGGGAGCGAACAGG